rnacentral:rRNA from 1 species
UUGACCUCGAAUCAGGUAGGAAUACCCGCUGAACUUAAGCAUAUCAAUAAGCGGAGGAAAAGAAACCAACAGGGAUUGCCCCAGUAACGGCGAGUGAAGCGGCAACAGCUCAAAUUUGAAAUCUGGUCCCCAGGGCCCGAGUUGUAAUUUGUAGAGGAUGCUUUUGGCGAGGUGCCUUCCGAGUUCCCUGGAACGGGACGCCAUAGAGGGUGAGAGCCCCGUCUGGUUGGAUACCAAGCCUCUGUAAAGCUCCUUCGACGAGUCGAGUAGUUUGGGAAUGCUGCUCUAAAUGGGAGGUAUAUGUCUUCUAAAGCUAAAUACCGGCCAGAGACCGAUAGCGCACAAGUAGAGUGAUCGAAAGAUGAAAAGCACUUUGAAAAGAGGGUUAAAUAGUACGUGAAAUUGUUGAAAGGGAAGCGUUUGUGACCAGACUUGGGCCCGGUUAAUCAUCCAGCGUUCUCGCUGGUGCACUUUGCCGGCCCAGGCCAGCAUCAGUUCGCGCCGGGGGAUAAAGGCUUCGGGAAUGUGGCUCCUCCGGGAGUGUUAUAGCCCGU